rnacentral:rRNA from 1 species
UUUAACCUGCCCGCUGAAUAAUUGAAUGGCCGCGGUAUUUUGACCGUGCAAAGGUAGCAUAAUAAUUAGUUUUUUGAUUGAAAGCUGGAAUGAAUGGUUGGACGAGAAAAUUACUGUCUCUGAUUAAAUUUUGAUAAAACUUUAUUUUUAAGUUAAAAAGCUUAAAUGUUGUUAAAAGACGAGAAGACCCUAUAGAGUUUUAUAAUUUUUUAAUAAUAUAAUUUUAGGUAUUUGAAUUUUGUUUUUAAAAUAUUAUUUUAUUGGGGUGAUAGAAAGAUUAAAUAAACUCUUUUUUUAUUUAAACAUUUAUAUAUGAUUAUUUGAUCCAUUUUUUAUGAUUAUAAGAAUAAAUUACCUUAGGGAUAACAGCGUAAUCUUUUUAGAGAGUUCUUAUCGAAAUAAGGGAUUGCGACCUCGAUGUUGGAUUAAAGUUAAUUUUUGGUGUAGAAGCUUGAAAAUUGAGUCUGUUCGACUUUUAAAACUUUACAUGAUCUGAGUUUAAACCGGUGUGAGCCAGGUUGGUUUCUAUCUUUAUUAAAUUAAAAUGUCUUA